UAUUGCAUUUGCCAAAGGGACGUUUUCAUUAAUCAUGAACGAAAGUUAGGGGAUCGAAGAUGAUCAGAUACCGUCGUAGUCUUAACCAUAAACUAUGCCGACUAGGGAUCGGGUGUUGUCCUUUUUUUGGCGCACUCGGCACCUUACGAGAAAUCAAAGUUUUUGGGUUCUGGGGGGAGUAUGGUCGCAAGGCUGAAACUUAAAGGAAUUGACGGAAGGGCACCACCAGGAGUGGAGCCUGCGGCUUAAUUUGACUCAACACGGGGAAACUCACCAGGUCCAGACACAAUAAGGAUUGACAGAUUGAGAGCUCUUUCUUGAUUUUGUGGGUGGUGGUGCAUGGCCGUUCUUAGUUGGUGGAGUGAUUUGUCUGCUUAAUUGCGAUAACGAACGAGACCUUAACCUACUAAAUAGUGCUGCUAGCUUUUGCUGGUAUAGUCACUUCUUAGAGGGACUACCGAUUUCAAGUCGGUGGAAGUUUGAGGCAAUAACAGGUCUGUGAUGCCCUUAGACGUUCUGGGCCGCACGCGCGCUACACUGACGGAGCCAGCGAGUAUUAACCUUGGCCGAGAGGUCUGGGAAAUCUUGUGAAACUCCGUCGUGCUGGGGAUAGAGCAUUGUAAUUAUUGCUCUUCACGAGGAAUUCCUAAU
rnacentral:rRNA from 1 species